rnacentral:misc_RNA from 1 species
UUGGAAAUGCUGGUGGCUCUGCUCUUAUCAGAUGAAGGAUCAGCAUUUGGAAUAUCAGUUUUGGGCUCUUCAUCAGGCAAAAUAGCACCACCAAUUAGUUCCCAACGUUCCCUUCUGAGAUUUAGUAUUUCUUCAUCCCCAUCAGCAUACAAAACCUUGUGCUUCUUUUUAAUAGGGUCAUAGGAAUCAAGAACUCCUUCAUAAAACGUCUUGUCCUUCGGCCACCAGACUUUUAUUCUUCUACCAGUCAAUUGCUCACCAAGAUCAGAAGGCUGAAUCAGGGGGGAAAAUACAUAAAUUAAAAAGAUAAUAAAUAGGUUGAAGAGUGUGGGAGAAUGAAGCAAUAAAACUCUCCCAUCUAGUAGACAUUUAAGAAGUAAAAGUGCAUAGAAAAGUAAAAUGUAUUUGCAGUUAACAAACAAAACAUUUAACAAGAGACCGGCAGCCAGCUCCUUAAACUAAUUAUUCAAAACUUUCAUUAUAAUCUAAAAAAAGAAAAACAUGAUUAUAUUUUGGCCAAUGCAGUACCGAGAUAUUUAGCUUUCCAAAUAAUGUGCUGUUUUUGUGUUCAAUUCUUUAUUGCUUGUCUGUUGGUUAAAGCCAUUCCCAUUUUCAAUGAGUUGAACCACCAAACAAGCACUACAGAAGUUGCAAACCAUAGAAGAACUGGAUAUUUCUGUAGUUUUAAUUCAUGCAGUGCUGAUACUCUUAAGUUUUAAUUAGAAGGCCCCAAACCUUCAAAUUCCUUUUUCCUUUCUCUGGGAAAAUAGAAGCUGUCAAUUCCAAAUAUAAAAUUAAGAGAAACAGAAAAACACAAACUGUUACUUCUUAAUCCUAAAAAUAUAAGUACCUAAAUUAGAAAGCAACCAGCACUAUUUUAUGAAGAACAAAUGCCCCUAAAACCAAAAAAUUUAAAUUUUUUACUAAUACCAAUUCAGUUAAAUGAUAACAAGAAGAAAACAAUCCUCAAUUACAUUCUUUUUUUUUU